CAGUAGCCGCGGUAAUACGUAGGGUCCGAGCGUUGUCCGGAAUUACUGGGCGUAAAGAGCUCGUAGGUGGUUUGUCGCGUUGUUCGUGAAAACUCACAGCUCAACUGUGGGCGUGCGGGCGAUACGGGCAGACUAGAGUACUGCAGGGGAGACUGGAAUUCCUGGUGUAGCGGUGGAAUGCGCAGAUAUCAGGAGGAACACCGGUGGCGAAGGCGGGUCUCUGGGCAGUAACUGACGCUGAGGAGCGAAGGCGUGGGGAGCGAACAGGAUUAGAGACCCCUGUAGUCCCUGUCUCUUAUAC
rnacentral:rRNA from 1 species